AUCACCACUCCACCCUGCAGCCAGCUCAGAGCAGCCAACAACCGAUCAGUGAGAGAGGAAAUAUUACUUCAAAUUUUCAUGGAUGUAGUAAUUAUCAUAUCUUCUUGAGUUUCAGAGGCGAAGAUACUUGGAAGACUUUUACCGACCACCGCUCCAUAGCCUUGAUCAAAGCCAUGUAAGCCGUGGGUGAAGAAUCUUAAAGGCGUAGCUUUUGAUGGAGAAGAUGUGUUGGAUGAAAUCAAUUGUGAAGUUCUUCGGCAUAAAGUAGAAUUUGAGAACUAUACAAAGAAAAAGGUACUAAUCUUUCUUUCUGCCUCCGAUCCCACUUUGUUUCGUCAGAAGAUGGAACAUAGGAGGAAGUCUAUGAACGCAUCUUUGGUGAGUGAGGCAUCUUUCAUUGGACUAGUUGAUAAGAAAAAACACAAAGAUGCAACCCUUCAAGCAAUAGAGGACACAGAAAGCAACUCAUUCUUUGGUAAGGAUGAAUACAUCGUCGGAAGAAAGGAGGAAGUGUCAAGUAUAGUUGCAACCUUGAUUAUCUCCAACAGUCAAGAAAGUAUUUUGGUUAUUGUAGGAAUGGGUGGUGUAGGAAAGAUAACUUCGAAUAGGUUAGUGUACAAUGAACCUGACCGAAAAAAGAUAUGUCGUCGUCCUUGAUGACAUUUGGAACAAAGAUGAACAAAAAUGGAAUAGUUUGAUGAGUUGUUUGUCAAAACUCCAUUUCGCCCAGGGGAUCACCAAGAUUGUCACUAAACCUUCUAUGAAACAAUGUUUUGCAUAUUGCUCAAUGUUCAUGAAAGAUUUCAACUGUCAUGUUGAAACACUUGAGGUAUUUGGAUGUUUCUAGAGCCAGUAUCAAAGCACUCUUUAAUUCUUUUGGAAAAUUUUGUAAUCUACAAACAUUGAGGAUGACAUUGUUUCUCACUUGAGUUUCCAAAGAGACUGCAAAAUUUGAUCAACUUGAGGCACAUUUAGUUUGAUGGACAUAUGAGAUUUCCGUUAGUGUGGGGUGACCAACUAAUCUCCAAAUAUUAUCUAAAGUUGUAGUAAUGGGAGAGGUUGGGGAAUAUGUGCAUCAUGAAGAAGAAGCAUUGAAAGAAAAUUUAGUGGGAAAGACAAACAUAUACAUUUGAAGAUUUGUAAGGGACCCAAAUAGUCGAAGGAGCAACAAGGAGGAUAAUGUAUUAGAAGGCCUCCAACUGCACCCUAAUUUGGAAAUUUUAGAGAUGGAGAAUUUCAUGGUUGCUACAUUUCCAUCAUGGAUGAUCAUGAGUUUGUCUUUGCCAACUCUCAGUCAUCUAGUUAAUCUCAGACACCUUGAGAUUAAUAGAUGGAUAAAUUUAAAAUGUGCGGGAGCUAAGUUUUAUGGAUAUGAUGUAGUAGUUAUGAGCAAGGAGACAAGGGCUUUGUUUCCAGUAUUGAAGACAUUCAAAUUAGUGAUACCCCAAACCUAAUUGAAUGGAUGGAAGCACCUGUAAAGCCACCUGAUUAAUAGUGGUGUUUCCUUGCCUUAAGGAGCUGUCUCCAACGUAUUCCGAGUCAUUUAUUUUUUAAUUGAGUAUAUAUUUAUGUUUGUCAAACCUACCCAGUGGGUUGAACAGAUGUACAUUCCUUCAAGAUUUGGAAAUAAGAGCGUGUAAAGUCUUAUGUUCAUUCAA